rnacentral:rRNA from 1 species
UACGAAGGGGGCUAGCGUUGUUCGGAAUUACUGGGCGUAAAGCGCGCGCAGGCGGUUUUCCAAGUCAGUGGUGAAAGCCCGGAGCUCAACUCCGGAACUGCCAUUGAAACUGUUAAACUUGAGGACGAGAGAGGUGAGUGGAAUUCCCAGUGUAGAGGUGAAAUUCGUAGAUAUUGGGAAGAACACCGGUGGCGAAGGCGGCGACCUGGUCCUUUACUGACGCUGAGGCGCGAAAGCGUGGGGAGCAAACAGG